rnacentral:lncRNA from 1 species
GAAUGUUUUAAAACUGGAAGAAAGAAGUGCUUAUGUAUUUUCUCCAGUUUAUGAAUAUUAAAAUGUCGUGUUGACGUCACUGAUAUAUAAUGUUGCAUAAAGGAUUUUUUAUUGUUAGUCAAAUUAUUGUUGCGCUGUAUCUAUCACAGACACGUAACAUAGAACAACAAACAUUGCAGAUUCAAAAGGACUUGCGACUUAAUAAUUAGCUGACCAUUAUCAGUCUAUAGUAACAUAAUAAUUCUUGGAAUAUUAAUGUUAUCGUCGUAUACGAAUUAACCAUGAGUGAUCAAAAUAUUUUCGAACCAUCACCAAAUGAGAGCGGAGAGAACGAACAAGCCGUCUUUUCAGCUCAAAGGACAGAUAUCCUGUGUGUAUACUCUGAACCGGUAAACAGAAUUAGACAAACCAUUUGGACUACUACCAAGAAGUUGACAUUAUUACUUGAUAACAUUAUUUUGGAACUUUAAAAGCAUGCUGAUUUAUCUGCAAGUUCGUCUAUGACCUCGACUGGACGUUGAAACCAGUGAACAUGCACAUGUGGAUUGAAUCAUCUAACAGAAACAGGAAUUACAUACAUAAUAAUACAUCUCUUUUGUAAAAAAAAACUAAAAUACUAAGGAAAGGCACAGUAAAUAUGGUGAUUAUUGGUCACCAUACACUAAGGAAAGACCUUAUUAAGUUUUCAGUGUUCAGUAGUGUUGGGUUUUUUUAAGCAUAACUUAACUAUUUUAACGAAGAUGCAUUUUUCAGGAGAAAUAUUUAAAAUUUUAUAUAAAUAUACAUUUAUUUAUUAAUAUAAUUAAUUAGAUUCGAAUUUUAAACGAAUCAAGAAUAUUGUUAUAAAAAAUUGAUUAAUGAAGUUCGUUGAUAAAAGAAACUGGCUUAGUGAAUACGCCUUGUUAAUACAAGUAUUCCAAAAGAGUGGUUGUACGUCAUAUGACAUUACAAUGGUAAUGGCAAUGACGAUUUCGUGAUGACUGAUGAAUAUGAUAGUAUAGGAAAAAUGAAAACAAAAUGCAUUUAUUCUUGUUUUGUUGAUAAAAUGUUUAUCCCACCCUAUGUUGAAAGUAAAUGGGAUCUAUUUAUUGGAGAAAAAAUAAACUGGUCUAAGGUCUGGAUGAGAAAAAUAAAGGAAGAAAAAAUAGAAAAUAUGCAGAACUAAAUUAUAAAUUGUUAAACAAAAUCUCCCCAACAAAUAGGCAAUUGUAUAAAUGGAAGUUAAAACACACUGACACAUGCGAUACGUGUGGAGCAGUCGAAGAUUAAAAGCACAUGUUUUUUGAAUGUCUAAAAAAUAGGAUAUUAUGGGAAAAGAUAGACAAUCUAUUUAAGAAACUUGACAAUAAUCAUUUUUUUUUAAAGAAUUAUUAAUAGGCUAUGAUAGCGGAAUUAAAAAUGAAAUAUAUUCCAUUGCAGUAUUUGCUAUAUACAAAAUUAAAAUUCUAACAGAGAU